CAACUUCCUCUGGUGUGUGAGAGCCAGGAAUAGGUCGGCUUGAUUGCUUACUUCAGAAGAACGCGCUCUAUGCACUCUGCUCCUGAAGCUGUCGCCUGAUACAUAUAAGAACACCGUCUUCAUCUCUUUUGCUCUUGAUGUCACUACACUGGGGCCUUGGACAAGCAUGCUGGAUUUUGAUGUGACAAGAAAUAUCGAGAACAUGAACUCUUUGCUUCUCUGGUUUUGCUGGAUGAUUCCUUUGUCUCUAGAGGAGAAGAGAACUGGAGGUUUCACAACAAAAGACUAGAAUACUGCAAUUGAGAGGUAUAGACCGACAUACCCCAGAGUUGUGGCACCCAUUAACAGAUCAAGCAAGCGCGUGCAGCUGUGUUUUGAUCAGUGAAAAGGUUUCCUGGCAUCCAAGAACUGAAAUCACCUUUUGGGGUAUGACAAACGCAUCCAAGCAUCUAGCAAGUGAAAAUCGAGGGUCUCGGUAAGGAAGGAAUAAGAGAAACUACCACAGAGAAUUAAAAGUAAACCUUUAAUAGUUACAACUGUGCAAACUCAAUCACAUUCAUGCCUUCUAUUGGCACCUAGCCCUCCACCAUUACAUUUGCUAGCUUACAAAGCUAGUUCCCAUUCCUUCCUCCUGCCCCCUUUUGCCCCUGUUUUUGCACCAGGCUUCCCCAGCUACCAGAGUUGUGGGCUCAUCUUCAUC
rnacentral:lncRNA from 1 species